AGUAUGUGUUCUUCUCAGUUUAUACUAUUUCUGAAGAUCUUAUAAUUGUGAUCUUAUACAAUAUUAGUCCUUUUGCCUCUAAUUUUGCUCAGCAUAAUGCCUUCCAGGUUCCUCCAUGUUAUGAAAUGUUUCACAGAUUCGUCACUGUUCUUUAUCGAUGCGUAGUAUUCCAUUGUGUGAAUAUACCACAAUUUAUUUACCCAUUCAUCUGUUGACGGACACCUUGGUUGUUUCCAGCUUUUUGCUAUUGUAAACAGAGCUGCAAUAAACAUGGGUGUGCAUAUAUCUGUUUGUGUGAAGGCUCUUGUUUCUCUAGGGUAUAUUCUGAGGAGUGGGAUUUCUGGGUUGUAUGGUAGUUCUAUUUCUAACUGUUUAAGAUAACACCAGAUAGAUUUCCAAAGUGGUUGUACCAUUUUACAUUCCCACUAGCAGUGUAUAAGAGUUCCAAUCUCUCCGCAGCCUCUCCAACAUUUAUUAUUUUGUGUUUUUUGGAUUAAUGCCAGCCUUGUUGGAGUGAGAUGGAAUCUCAUCGUAGUUUUAAUUUGCAUUUCUCUAAUGGCUAAUGAUCGAGAGCAUUUUCUCAUGUAUCUGUUAGCUGCCUGUAUAUCUUCUUUAGUGAAGUGUGUGUUCAUAUCCUUUGCCCACCUCUUGGUUGGGUUGUUUGUCUUUUUGUGGUUGAGUUUUGACAGAAUCAUAUAGAUUUUAGAGAUCAGGCACUGGUCGGAGAUGUCAUAGCUGAAAAUUCUUUCUCCCCAGACUGUUUUUUCUCCAGCCUCUGGUUCUCCAUUGUGGCCAAGGUUCUCAGAGAAGGCACUAGAACUUGCGGGGUGGGAGUGAGGGGAAAAAGGGAGGGCAGAAAAGCAAAACUUAUACCCUCUCGCAUUGUGAGCCAUAAAGGAACAAGGACAUAACACCACAGGUGCCUAGCCUGAGGUCUACACGUCCAUUUGUUAGUCUUCCCACAGAAGGCAAGAGCCAUACAACAGGACUGACUAGGGCUUGGGACAAGUUAUUGAUCUCUUUCAAGGGCAGAGUGGAGUUGGAGUGGGGGGAAGUGUCCAGGCUAAUGGGAGCAAGGACACAUGGAACAGGCCUGGGGGCUGAAGCAGAGCCUCCACCCCAAACCCUGCACUUCCACCCAAGCCCCCCAGCCCCCAGUGCAGCUAUAACCUGAGUUCCUUUCUGCCACAGUACAGAGAAGCAUCAGCCUGCCACUGAUAUCAACAGACCUGAUUCUUUUCAGAAGAAAAAUCCCCUAGAAGAGAACCAGGCUGGAUCCCUGAGGGAAGACCCUUGGAGAAGGCAGCCCAAGCGCUGGAAUUCUUACAGUUAAAAGUCCCAGAAGAGGAGGAGAGUCCCAAGGACUGCAGGCUACUCCCUGGCAGUGGGGGUUUCCUUCUUCACCCCUGAUCUCCUGUAGUCUUAGUUUCAAUUCUGCCAGGCAAGGGAGACCAUAAGUCUUCUCCUCUGGGGCCCAGGCUGGAGGCUACAAGACUUGCAGAGGACAGGAUAAAACCCAGACCCUGCUUAUGAGACAGGUCACUCUUCUGUAUAGGACAACCAAGGGCGACUUUAAGGAGGAUGCCUGGAGGACAUGAGAAGGUGAGAAGGAACAGGAUGGUGGAAAGAGGCCAAGCAUUUGGGAAGUUUCUCAUGGCUACUUAGCUAUAGCAUUUAAGAGCAAGAUGGUGUCCACAGAAUAGACCUCAGCUGUCUUGCGGGCAAGAUCUGGAAAGGUUAGGAGUUCUACUGGAAAAAGAAAGCAGGGUGUACAAGCCACCCUCCCAACCUCACCCAAAAUGGAAAGCCUCGGGGCAGUUGGAGUGGAGUUGAGGAGAACAGGUGGCAAGGCUGCUGAGGAGUUGCUGACACUGCUGAUCCUCUGUGCGCUGGGGCCGUGACUUCAGGGGGAGAAGCUCCGUGUGGGAGUUUUUGAGAAUAGGUGCCUGGAUGUGGAGCCCUGCCAGGUAUUCCUCCUGGUGUAAGCCAUGGUGAUCCAGCAAAGGCCAGGCACUAGUAGGCGAGGAGCUAAGGCAGGAAUGGCAUGAAGGGCAGAUAAGCAAGAGCUGGCUGUCUUGAGAGGUGAAGAGCAGGGGCCAGUGACCUUCCCCAAGAGAUGGCUCUUCAUCUAACCAUGACUGGUGCCUGGUUUAUCUGCUCUGUCUUUUCUUUGCAGUGGGGAGAAAGACAAAUGACCACGAAAGCUCUCCUGCCUGCUUCUGUAUGAUAUGUUUGAUAUUGGGUUGUUUAAUUAGGAGCCAACUAAAUGUCAAACAUAUUCUUACAGCAGUUGGCAAUUCAGCAACACACUCUUUUCUACCUCAACCUCUGGGGAUCCUGUCUUUUCUAUUGAACUUCUCUUUAGGACCCCCUCUGGCAUAUUAGUGGCUGCAACCCAUGAAGAUUUCAAUCUUAAGCUAGAGGGAUGGUGUAUGAGUGGGAUGAGAGUUGGAAUUUCCCCCUUAGUAGAUAAGAUUUCUCUCUUUACCUCUCCUCUCCUUUCCUUGUAUUUUUUCAUUCAAGUCCCCCUCCCCACUUAUUAUUCACUGCUUCCCACCCCUGGGACUCUCUUGUUCCCUAAUCCAUUUCCCUGGCUGGUCUGCACAUUAGAGGUCUUUGGUCUCUUGCUUUCCUUCAAGUGUUAUCUGACCGUUUAUCUAUUUAUCUCUAGUGACUGCAAGCUCUCAGUUCUCAAGAGUGGACUCCAGCUCUGUCCUAUGCCUUGCUGGUCGUUUCAGUUUCUUCAUUGCUGGGGCAUAGCAUUAACACCAUCCAUCUAGCCUUGACAUAAUGAUUCAUUUGAGCCAUUUAUAUUCUUCCCUGUUAGCUCUGGUCACCUUGAACAGCGCCCACCACUCUCCUGGCAUACUCUCAGGUUUUAUGGUGCCAGUGUGAUCAACUGCCACCUGUCAGCAAUGAGGCUCCAAGUGGAAGAAUGAACACGCCCUGGAACUAAGCUGGGGAGAAUAGAGUUGAUGAUGAUGAUUAUUUUGACGAGUGGUGGUGGGGGUGGGGAUAAAGAGAGGGUAAAGGGUGACGGAAAGAAGAGUAGAAAGCAACAGAGUCACAGGGGUGGAUUAUCCAAUAGGCAAGGUAAGCUUACCUUGCCUACCAGAUCAUCUGGAAUGAACAAUUUCAUUACAGAUUAGUUAAGUAAGCACAAGUAAGCCUGUGCUUACUUUGCUUACUGGGUCAUCUUAUGACUGUCAAUUUAAAAAAAGGCUUUGAUUCUGCAGGAAGGUGCUGUGAGGUUGGGACAGAGACAGAUGCCAGCCAUACCUAGAAGCAGAAUCUUCGAUGUGGUGAAAAAAUGUGAAAUUGUUCACUACGGAUGAUCUGGCUCCCUGGAUACCAGGAAUCAAAAGAUGAAACCCAACCAGUGGAAUCUGAUCACCAUCCAACUCAGUCUGGGUGACAGUAAGAGGAAAGCUGAAGGGCAACUGAGACUCUGGAUGAAAACUCACGCCAUCCUAAAAUUGCCAAAGUACCCUUCCCUUUUCUAUAUCAAUGUUUUCUCUUUCCCUCUCCCUGCUCUUGUAAAAUACCCAUAGAACUGCCUAGAAUAAGUGGAAACUUUCAGGGUUGGUGAGAGUCUCCCCUCCUCCACUUUCCAUUGUCUAAAGUCAGCCUCAGCUGUUCACAGAUAUUUCUUUGCCGGUGAUGUCAGUCCAUCAAAGUGUCUCACCCUGUGUUCCCCCAGGAGAAUAACGAUGGGGUGGAGAGAGAUGGAAGGGCCAUAUUAGGAAUAAGAGGUGGAGCCACAAGCAGAGAUAAAGGCUUAAGUGUGGGAAACUUCUAGUCACUCAGGCAGCAGCCCUUCCUUUCUUGACCUAGUCUCCAGUUUCUAGUGCUCACAGGUGAGCCCAACAGCCACUGCUCAUGAUGGAGGCCAUCAAGAAAAAGAUGCAGAUGCUGAAGUUGGACAAGGAGAAUGCUCUGGAUCGGGCAGAACAAGCUGAAGCUGAGCAGAAACAGGCAGAAGAAAGAAGUAAACAGCUUCCCUGGAGGGGCAGAGGACAUCUGCGGUAUCUGCCUCAGACUACCUGUGUGACCUCGGGAAAGUCAGUGAUCCCCCUCAGAGCCACAGCAUGUCUGCUGGAUUUAAGUGGGAGGUGGAUCAUCUUUUGGAAGAGCCCGGAAAAGGCGGAAGGCCUGGCAUGCAGCAUCUCUUUUCCGUUAAAUGGAGUCACAGGUAUCUAUAACCUUAGAUAUUGGAUGCCAGGGUCUUGGAUAAAAACCCUGGCAUCCAACCCAACAUAGGGUCACAGGCCAAGGCCGAAGCGUAACACUUGGAGCAUUAGAUUGGAAAUGGCUAGGGAAAAAGUAUGUCUCUGAGGAUGGUAACAUAGAGGCUGGGCUCCGGGGCCUACUAGCCCAGGGUCCAAGACUGUACUGCUGUGUAUAUGUAUGUGACUCUCUGGGCUCCUACAGCUGGAGGAUGAGUUGGCAGCCAUGCAGAAGAAGCUGAAAGGGACAGAGGAUGAACUGGACAAGUAUUCUGAGGCUUUGAAGGAUGCCCAGGAGAAGCUGGAGCUGGCUGAGA